rnacentral:rRNA from 1 species
AACAAACGCUGGCGGCGUGCCUAAUACAUGCAAGUCGAACGGGGAAAGCUUUCGGGUGAGUACUCGUGGCGCACGGGUGAGUAACGCGUGGAUAAUCUGCCCUCGAAUGGGGAAUAACUAGUCGAAAGAUUAGCUAAUACCGCAUAAGACCACGACUACUGAGGUGGUUGGGGUCAAAGCAGCAAUUCGUUUGAGGAUGAGUCCGCGUAAGAUUAGCUAGUUGGUGAGGUAAUGGCUCACCAAGGCGAUGAUCUUUAACUGGUCUGAGAGGAUGAUCAGUCACACUGGAACUGAGACACGGUCCAGACUCCUACGGGAGGCAGCAGUAGGGAAUAUUGGACAAUGGGGGCAACCCUGAUCCAGCGACGCCGCGUGAGCGAUGAAGGCCUUCGGGUCGUAAAGCUCUGUUGUAAGGGAAAAAGUUCUGAUUGUACCUUACGAGAAGGGAUCGGCUAACUUCGUGCCAGCAGCCGCCGUAA